AUUGAACGCUGGCGGCAGGCCUAACACAUGCAAGUCGAGCGAGCGGCGGACGGGUGAGUAAUGUCUGGGGACUGCCCGAUAGAGGGGGAUAACUACUGGAAACGGUGGCUACUACCGCAUACUAUCGGAUAACCCAUAUGGGAUUAGCUAGUAGGUGGGGUAAAGGCUCACCUAGGCGACGAUCUCUAGCUGGUCUGAGAGGAUGAACAUCCACAACGGGAAUGAGACAGGGCCCAGAUUCCUACGGAGGCAGCAGUGGGGAAUAUGGAACAAGGGGCGCAAGCCUGAUGCAGCCAUUCCGCGUGUAGGAAGAAGGCCUUAGGGUUGUAAAGUACUUUCAGCGGGGAGGCGUUACCCGCAGAAGAAGCACCGGCUAACUCAGUGCCAGCAGCCGCGGUAAUUC
rnacentral:rRNA from 1 species